rnacentral:rRNA from 1 species
AAAAGAUUAAGUUAUUAAGGGCGCACGGUGGAUGCCUUGGCACUAGAAGCCGAUGAAGGACGUUACUAACGACGAGAUGCUGUGGGGAGCUGUAAGUAAGCUGUGAUCCAGAGAUUUCCGAAUGGGGGAACCCAGCACGAGUUAUGUCGUGUUAUCCGCAUGUGAAUACAUAGCAUGUGAG